AUAAUUGUUUUAAGAGUAACGAAGUGCUGUCCGAGUGCCGACUCACCACCUUUCAAGUGAGUGCAUAGUCCCUUUCAUCUUACACAUAGAUAUGAAGUAUUUUAUAUAAACUACGUGCUAUGUGUGCACAUUAUCUGAAUACUUGCUGUCUAUGCUGGUUGAACGUUUUAUACAUGUUUUAAAGGACUUAAACUGUAUACGUAUUUUAUAUAUACGAAAAUGUUGGGUAUGAGAUGGGUAGAUGAAUGAUGAGAGAUAGAAGAUGACGUGAGUAUACAUUGGCAGCUAUAGACUUAGUGCCUAUGGGACAAACACCGGUAGCUAUGGACUUAGUACCUUUUAGACGUUGGUAGCUAUGGAUUUAGUACCUGUUGGGAAUUGGUAGCUAUGGACUUAGUACCUAUUAGUUAGACGCUGGUAGCUAAGGAUUUAGUACCUGUAGGAAUUGGUAGCUAUGGACUUAGUACCUGUUGAACAUUGGUAGCUAUGGACUUAGUACCUAUUAGAUAAAGACUGGUAGCUAUGGAUUUAGUACCCGAUGAAUAGACUAUAGCAGCUAUGGAAUUAGUGCUUUAUGAACGAACAUUGGCAGCUAUGGAUUUAGUGCCAGUCCUAUAACCCUGGAAGUAAGGGACUUCGGAAUAAACGAAUGCAGGAUAGAUGACUCUUAGGUUAAAUCCUUAAAGAGUAAAGAAGAUAAUGGGGAUGGGUAAUUGGUUUGAUUGUUUGAUUGAACAUAAUAAUUAUAUUAUUGUGGGUUGAAAACCCUAUGUACUCACCAGGUUUCCCAACCUGACCCACUCAGUUUAUGUAUAUCACAGGUGACGAAGUGAAGUGACAUUACACUGAGAGAUUUAAAAGAGAUGUAGAUCACUAGUGUAAAUCAUUGUAAGUUCUGUUUAUGCUUAUGUUUCGGUAUUAACGAUGACAUCCCAAACAUUUUAAAAUGAAAUAAAUACGUUUCUUUGAAAAUGUUUUAAUAACGUAUUUACCAUGUUUUUCUGGGAACAAAUUCCGCAACCUUUUUAUAAAAUGAAGUACUCUGAUUUUUAUAAAGCAUAAACAAAAUCGGUCUUUUCUGGCCGUGAUUUUGGGGAUGUCACAUCGACAUAUUGGGUGAUGGGUUAAGGUGGUCCGUCUUUAUAUGGUAGGCUAAGAUGCCCGGGCGGGCCAACAGUGUGUUGUAGGCUAUGUGCGGACCAACUAUAUGUUGUAGGCAUGGAAGGAGACCAGGUGUGGGUUUGGGGCCCAGGAGAACGGUCUAGGUGUACUGUAGGCCUCGUGAUGCAGUUCAAUGAGACUGAAGGCUCGUAUGUGUGCAUGCAUUGUAUGUGUAUUGUGGUGUGUGGUAUUCUGGGGGAACUCACUAAGAUUUGACAUACAAUUGUGGAUUAAAUGGUUUUUAUGUACCACUGAUGAUCCUGGGAAGACGAAAGCGUGACUGUACACACUCAUCUGCAAUACUGGAGAUUCCACAUUUAUUAUAUUACUCUUAUAUUCAAACAAAUGUAUUUCGGAACAAAUAAGUUUUCUUAACUUGGGUUUUAUAAAAAUGGUGUUUGAC
rnacentral:lncRNA from 1 species